rnacentral:tRNA from 1 species
GGGGUUGUGGCUCAGCGGUAGAGAGCUCUCCUAGUACGUGUGAGACCCUGCGUUCAAUCCUCAACACCACA